UUUAUCAUAUAUUUAGUACAAAAUACAGCUAUUUUGUAUAUCUAAUAAAGGUUGUUUUUCCAGUCUGUAUCACCUACCCUGUAUCGCAUACCCCGUAUCGCAUACCCCGUAUCGCAUGGUAAAACCCGUAUCGCAUACCUUUUUUUUUUUUUUUUUUUUUUUUGCUUAACAAAAAAUUUCCUCAAAAUAGGUCAUUUUUUUAAUGACGUCAUUGUUUGGUAUGUAACGUCACGAACGUUAAGUUUUCAUAUUGUAUGUGACGUC
rnacentral:lncRNA from 1 species